AUUGAACGCUAGCGGGAUGCUUUACACAUGCAAGUCGAACGGCAGCGCGGACUUCGGUCUGGCGGCGCGUGGCGCACGGGUGAGUAAUGUAUCGGAACGUGCCCAGUAGCGGGGGAUAACUCCGCGAAAGCGUAGCUAAUACCGCAUACGCCCUACGCGGGAAAGCAGGGGAUCGUAAGACCUUGCACUAUUUGAGCGGCCGAUAUCGGAUUAGCUAGUUGGUGAGGUAACGGCUCACCAAGGCGACGAUCCGUAGCUGGUUUGAGAGGACGACCAGCCACACUGGGACUGAGACACGGCCCAGACUCCUACGGGAGGCAGCAGUGGGGAAUUUUGGACAAUGGGGGCAAGCUUGAUCCAGCCAUCCCGCGUGUGCGAUGAAGGCCUUCGGGUUGUAAAGCACUUUUGGCAGGAAAGAAACCCCGCGGCCUAAUACGCUGUGGAAAUGACGGUACCGGCAGAAUAAGCACCGGCUAACUACGUG
rnacentral:rRNA from 1 species